UGAAGACAGAAAGGUGACCACUGGAUAUGGCACAGUGGAGACUACUGGAACUUUGAUAGGCACAGUUUCAGUGUCAUGAUAGAGCAGAUGCCUGGUGGAGCAAGUGGAGACAGCAGGAACACACAUGUUGUUCACAAAAAUCUACUGUGGGAAGGAUGACAUUAGAAGGCCAUCUUAUUAUUCUUACGACACAAGGCCAACCCAAGACACCACAUCAGGCUCAUCCAAAAUCCUGCUGAAGCUUCUCGCUUUUUCCUGAGGUGAAGGAGUGAGAGUGGGUGACAGUGAUUGCAAGCAACAGUUCAAACCAACUCCUUUACCAAUCAUCUUUUUCACAUUCUCUAAAAUUUGUUUACCCUUACUGCUGUUUAAGAGAUUAAGACUCAUGGAACUGAUCAUUGAGCACUUCCUUUGUAAAUUCUGUGCACAGGGAUUUGUCUCACAGUCAUGGUCUGUGAUAUGAUUCUACGGCAAUGCUAUGGAAUGUUGGCAAGAA